UGACCGCUGGCGGCGUGCUUACCACAUGCAAGUCGACCGAAGCACUUUAUUUGAUUUCCUUCGGGACUGAUUAUUUUGUGACUGAGUGGCGGACGGGUGAGUAACGCGUGGGUAACCUGCCUUGUACAGGGGGAUAACAGUUGGAAACGGCUGCUAAUACCGCAUAAGCGCACAGCAUCGCAUGAUGCAGUGUGAAAAACUCCGGUGGUAUAAGAUGGACCCGCGUUGGAUUAGCUAGUUGGUGAGGUAACGGCCCACCAAGGCGACGAUCCAUAGCCGACCUGAGAGGGUGACCGGCCACAUUGGGACUGAGACACGGCCCAAACUCCUACGGGAGGCAGCAGUGGGGAAUAUUGCACAAUGGGCGAAAGCCUGAUGCAGCGACGCCGCGUGAGCGAAGAAGUAUUUCGGUAUGUAAAGCUCUAUCAGCAGGGAAGAUAAUGACGGUACCUGACUAAGAAGCACCGGCUAAAUACGUG
rnacentral:rRNA from 1 species